GAUGAACGCUGGCGGCGUGCCUAAUACAUGCAAGUCGAACGAACGGACGCGACGCUUGCUGCUCUGAUGUUAGCGGCGGACGGGUGAGUCACACGUGUAUAACCUACCUAUAAGACUGGUAUAACUUCGGGAAACCGUAGCUAAUACCGGAUAAUAUUUUGAACCGCAUGGUUCAAAAGUGAGAGACGGUCUUGCUGUCACUUCUAGAUGGUUCUGGGCUGCAUUAGCUGGUUGGUAAGGUAACGGCCUACCAAGGCAACGAGGCCUAGCCGACCUGAGAGGGUGAUCGGCCACACGGGAAGUGAGACACGGUCCAGAGGCCUACGGGAGGCAGCAGUAGGGAAUCGGCCGCAAUGGGCGAAAGCCUGACGGAGCAACGCCGCGUGAGAGAUGAAGGCGUUCGGAUCGUAAAACUCUGUUAUUAGGGAUGAACCGAUGUGUAAGUAACUGUGCAGAUCUUGACGGUACCGAGUCAGAAAGCCCCGGCUAACUACGUG
rnacentral:rRNA from 1 species